GUGCUCACUUUGGCAGUACAUACACUAAAAUUGCAACGAUACGGAGAAGAGUAGCAUGGCCCUGCUGCAAGGAUGACAUGCAAGUUCGUGAAGUAUUCCAUAUUAAA
ensembl:snRNA U6 U6 spliceosomal RNA